GACAGAGGUGCCGAGCGUUGUCCGGAAUCACUGGGCGUAAAGGGCGCGUAGGUGGUGGCUUAAGCGUGCGGUGAAAGCUCGGGGCUCAACUCCGAGUCGGCCGUGCGAACUGGGCUCACUGGAGCAUAGUAGAGGCAGGUGGAAUUCCGGGUGUAGCGGUGGAAUGCGUAGAGAUCCGGAAGAACACCGGUGGCGAAGGCGGCCCGCUGGGCAGUGGCUGACGCUGAGGCGCGACAGCGUGGGGAGCAAACAGG
rnacentral:rRNA from 1 species